rnacentral:tRNA from 1 species
UUCCUGGUGUCUCAGAUGGUAAAGAAUUUGCCUGCAGUGCAAGAGAUCCAGGUUUGAUCCCUGGGUUGGGAA